CUCUGUUCCCUUGCUGCUCUCCUCAGGCAAGUUUACUGGAAUUUUUCAGUUUCUUUUUCCCCGGGCUGUUUUUGUAGGUGAUGCAUCUAUAUUUUCUUAGAUUGGAUGACGACUGCUUCAAAUUUUGUUCUUCUUUGUGGGUUUCGGAGGAAUUGACUCUGUUCGUUGGUUAAUAAGCGCUUGUUGACUUGUAAUUUAGGAAUGACUUGUGGGAAUUAGUUUGUCAAGGAGCUUCUUGUUUAUUAUGUUCUCUUUGAAGCAAUCGUGAGAUUGGCGAUUGUGCCUGCAGCCUGGGAAAGCCCCAAUUUUCAUCAAUAUUUCUUAGCUUUGCUUCUCGACUUCAAUGUUGAAUUCUAUGGAGAUGGAUUAUAACACUACCAAUGUCGAUUUCAAUGUAUCAUCCUUGUAUUGGUUUAUCUUUGUGCACAAUCAUAUCAGAGAACUUUGCAGUAGUUUUUUCAUCUCAUGUGCUGUCCUGUUAUUACCUACCAUGUUGAUCAAAUUUAUGGUAUUGUAGGAUCCUUGAAGCUGCGAUCAAAGUUGAGAAAUUCAAAACUUACUCUCCUGUUCUGUUGACAGAUUUUCAUUCAUAAGAGGUUUCAUGCUGGCUGAAAGAAUCUCAACUGAACCACUUAUGG
rnacentral:lncRNA from 1 species